CUGACAGCCCUGGGGACAGAAAUCCUCUAUUUAUCCACUAAACAAGUACAGCCCAGCUUCACUGCCAUGCCAUUGUUUCUCAUCCCUGGAAAGCCCAUAGCUUAGAGAGAGAAUAUUUCAGCUCCCAUGACCAUUCAGUUGUUGGCCUCU
rnacentral:sRNA from 1 species